AACGCACGAGACCUGCGGACCUGCGGAAGGAUCAUUCACAAUAAGUGUUUUAUGGCACUUUAAUUCCAUAUCCACCUUGUGUGCAACGUAGUUCGUUUUUCGAACAAAACAUCAACAUUUUAAUUAUCAACAGAUCGUCUGAAGUAUUAUAUGAAUAAAUCAAUUCAAAAUACAACUUUCAGCAAUGGAUCUCU
rnacentral:misc_RNA from 1 species